GAAUUCCAAAGUCAGCCCCUCGAAUUCCAGCCCCUUGUAUGGCUCCUUCUGGGGGGGGUGAUAGGAGGGGCGGAGCCAAGGAUCAGGGUGUUGUCCUCCAAGACUGCCGCCACCCACGCUCUGAAGAGUUUCUUUCCCAUCGGAAUGUUCCUGCGUAUCUCCUUGACAACCCGGACACGGUGCUGUGGUGAGGGGAAACAAUGCGAGUCAGCCAGCUGGGCGGAGCCGGGCCUGCGGUGGCUUCCCAGGACACACUCUCCCUUCCAGGGUUCUAGGUUCAUGUUUGUGCUUCAGUCUAGCACAACAGCGACGCUGAGGCGCGGCCCCAGAAGAACCAGCCUGGCACAUGUUUCUUGGGCCGCACAGCCAGGCGGCGUGGGGAAGUCGGGACACCCAGCCCCGGGGGCUCCAGCCUUCCCUAACCAGAUUUGCAAUCUGCUAAAGCAAAGAGCUCACCAGGAGAAAGGCAGGGGGCAGCCAGGAGGGAGAGAAGAUGUAUGGGAGCCGGCGGCUAAGAGAGACCGGCUAGGCCAAGAAGGUUCCACAUUCUCUUCCCUUGACGUUCUACAAGCCAAAUCUCGCGUCUAGAAGGAAAAUGGACAGACAGUCCUGACUUAUGAUGCUUUGACUCAGUGGUGUCCAACUUUACAAUGUGCCCAAAUGAUGCACACUGAGUAGAAACCGUACUUGGACUUCUGAAUUUGGAUCUUUCCCCAGGCUAAUGAUACGCAGUAUGAUCCUCUCUGGUGACGCUGGGCAGAAGUAACAAGCCUCAGCUCCCUGCCGGCCGCACGAUCGCGGGGGUCAAGCUCACAGCCAGCCUGCACCCACACAGCCCUUCUGUGUGUCGCUUUCAGUACAGUACUCAUAAGUUACAUGAGGGAGCCAGACGACACUUUAGUAUCAAGUGGGCCUUGCCUCAGAUGAUUUUGCCCAACUGUAGGCUAAGCCCAUACCUAGGAUGUGUCUUCAAACCAAACAUGGCAGCCGGGACCACAAUGCUGACUCCAACCCUUAUCCUCCGAGAUCUUCCUGGUUCCUGGUAUGAUGAGUGAUUGGAAUUGGAACCUAGGCAUUUGAAUCUUAAUGAUUCAAUAAGACUCUGAGUCUUAUCGAAGCCUUCUGUUUUGGCUGGCUUCUGCUGACAUCUCUCUGGCAGGAGAAGGGGCUCCGCGCAGAGGCAACAUCAACACGAACGGUGCAGGACGGGCAAGGACCCUCGACUGCCGUGGACAAGAUCUCCCAGCUCCAGAGGACAUAUUUACAUCUCAAGGCAUCUCUUCCUGCAUUGGAUGCAUCUCAAAAUCCCAUAAGGGAAGAAGAUGCCGAGACAGAACGAGGAGUACAUAAGGUUUUGGGGGGAGUAACACCUGGGAGGAAAUGUGAAGAAGCAAGAAUGGUCAUGAGGAAGGCACCCGAUCAGGAUACGGAGCAAGAGCACCUGUUGGAUCCGAGUCCUCAUCAGGAGGAAAUGGCCAGGUCUUUGUUCCAUGGCCUUGCCCACUUACUGGCUAGUGCCACUCAGAACCGCGUGUGACUUCGGCUCAAAAGUUGCUCACAGAGGAGGCUGUGAGCUAGCUACCCUCUCCAUCGCUGGGCAGGGAGUCCCAUCUUACAGGGGUAGCUGGGUAGCGUAUCUGUAUCUGCCACACCCCACCUUCCCUCUGACUCUGUGAGGCGAUUUUACCCUUCGUGGUUCUUCAUGAAGACAACAGAACUCUAUAAAUGACAGUGUGUGAAUUGCCCUUGGGAAAUAGGCCAUCUCUCAACCAGCAAAAUUAGAAAGAAAGUUAUAACCAUACGUCAGUAUAGUUGAAUCAGCUAAAAGGUGAGGUGCCCCUAGGAUAUGGGACUGCGUUUCAUUUAAGCAGAAUCUCCUUCUGCAGAGGGAGCGCCUUGCGAAUCUGAAAUAAGAUCAGAGAAGUGCUUGCUGCAGCCGUCUGGCCAUCCUCUGCCGAUGAACGUGAACCCUCGUGAAUAGGUGAGUCCUGCCUGUUUACUGUGGGGAAGUCCCUUUGCUAAGAAAGAUGAAGCAGUCCCAGGAUGGUAGGAAGCAGCCGAGGGAAGGAGCCUUAGGAAGAAGGAGUCUAUUCUCAGGUCAGUCCCUUCACUUAGCCUGGGCUAGGAGGGUGUAUUGAGCAUGUGGCAUCAAGAAAAAGACUGAAAGCGAUCCAGCUAGUGGAAACUAUCUGCGACAUCAAACCUGAGAAUGGGGGCCAUGUCCUGUUAGUCCAGUUUCAAACAUGGGAACAGUUAACCUCCAAAGAUUCAUCUUCCAGAAGCUACCAUGAUGGUUUCCAAGGGAGAGCCUACGUAGACCAAGGAGAGCGGAGGGGAGAUGGGAGACAAGGAAAGCCGGGCCAUCCCCUAGCCUUGCCUCCAGCUUCCUUCAGAAGAGUGGUCCCAUCCUUAUCUGUUGUAUUUCUUAGGAUUGUGUGUGAGGUUACAUUUAAGAAAAGGUUCUUUCACGAAGAUAAAUGCGUCCGAUAACUACAGUUUCCUCAGUCUCACCUGAAAUCUACUGAAAUAGAAUCUCCCAGGAGUGUGUUCUUCCACAAUGCUGCUCAAUGCGUCCCCUGAUAGGAUGGUAGCUAGACAAUAGAUGACAUAGAUAGACGGUAGGUAGGUAGAUAGAUAGAUAGUAUAUUUACCAACAUACUAAUAUGUAAUGCAUAUUGUAACAUACACACAAAAGUAGAAAAGUUUUAAUAAAUGUAAUAGAGGCUCUGGUAUUUUCUCUUUGCACCCAAGGGAUCAUCUUGAUUUCCCCUGAUGUAGGCACACCUUGCACUGGAGCUUUCUCACAGUCUUAUCUACGAUAGCAAGAGCGUGUGGGAAAUGAGGGGAUGACGCAACCCUGCUUACAGGUGUAAAUCCAUCCCACUGUGUUUAAUGGCCCCCGAGCCACUGAGAUAGCGAGCGGCACGCUCCGUCCUAGCCCAUUCCUUCCUCUGUACCAGGGCUAGGGCUUAGGGGUAGAGCGCAUAGUGACUGUCGUCGAUUACUACAAGGUGGGGAAAGAAUAAAUGUCUUUUUCCAGACCAGAUGGAUCCUUUCUCCCUCUCCCCUUUGAGCACAGAUGAAACCCAACUGAAGCAAAGUUGAUAUUUCAAAACUGAGCUCCAGUGUUUAGAACAAUGAGUGGAGCUGCUGACGCUUUAGUUGCUGGAAUGUUCUCUAGCUCAACUCUGAAAGUCAAUCGUCAGCAUGAGGGCCUGAUGUCUGGGCCACAAUCAGAGAAGGACCAGGGUGAGGGGCAUUGUCCCCGGGCAAGGUGGGUGGAGAGGAGACUGCAAGGCCUGAGCGGGCAAAGGCAAGGCUCGUCAACACCCCGGGGGACUUAGGACGUAUGAGAAAGGCACCACAUGUGUUUGUGUCACUUCUGUGACUCAGCUGCUAUUUCAGCCACUGAUAAAUAAAGGACUGUUUCCAGGUAUGCUAUGUUUGGUUAAACCCUAAACUUGGACAUUAAGUAUAGCCCUAAGGUUCCCAAGACUACAUUGCUCUAAACCACAAUUAUUUCACACAUGCCGGAGCGAAAAGAAAAUUAAAAUUAGAAGCGUAAAGAAAAUGAAAUAAAUGUCUGUGGGUUUCCCACACAACCUGCAAAUCUCCCUUCUGGAACAGUACAACACAGCAGUUCUGCUUCUGUUCUGACAGCUCUUUCCACCUCGGGGACCCAUUUUCGGUACUAUUUCCCCAAUGUGUUUCCCCCCCCCCCUCCCCGUUUUGUUCAUUCACAGUCUCUCUCCCCACCCCCCACGCCUUUCCUUCCAAAUUCCCAGGUGCCAAUAUGCUUUUCCAACUCCACCUCCAGAUACAUGUACGGGCUUUGCCCCAAAGCCUCCCUAGUGAGCAGUAUCACUUUCUGGGGAUAGUAAGCACUGAGUCAUUGCCUCCUUCUUACCACAGUUUCCAAAACACAGUCUGAUUUCACCCUGGUCUCUACCCAGAUCUCCGAAAGUCUGGGCCACCAUGUACAUAAACAGACUCCUAAUGGGGGAUCCCCGGCCCAUCUUCCUAACACCCUCUCACUCUCUACCCCUCCUCGAUGUCUGUCCUCCCAAAAGUCGGAAGAAAGCAGAGCUUAAGGGACUAGGACCCUUCAGGAUCCAUCCUUCUCUGUAACUCAGACACCUGGUCAACAGAGGAAAACACGCUUCUGCUGUGAAAACAAGACUCGGAGAUUUGUAGAGAAUGGCACCGCGAAGACAAGAUGGUACCCAUGGUCCAUUCCCUCUCAGCGGCACCACCUGGGCAGGAACGGUACAACCUAAAGAUGAGCCCAGAUUUUCUCUGAAGUGGGUAGCUAAGCGAAUUGUAUUCUGUUGUUGUUGUUGUUGUUCUCCCAGCCCCAGUGAGAAGCAGCAAGGGAUUUAAAUGCGAGUAGUUGAAGAUGAAAGUUCUCAAAUUUUUAUGUUAAAUACAAGCGUACUUAUCCCUUGAUCAUAUCCAUACAAGGCAGCACCUUUAAGACACUGAUCUGAGGGGGAUGCAUGUGCAAAAUGAGAACACUGCUAGGCAGCGAAAUCAAUCAGGUUGCCCUCUGAGAUACACCCAAGGUGAAGCAGCUUGAACUGGGUGUUCCUACCUCUUUCGAUCCUCCCCCUGCUGGAAAAAUCGGUCUCCUGGUGACUCAGAAUUAGUUCAAGAUACUUCCCCACACCCUUUCUCUCUGUCAAGAUCAAGCCUGUUCCCCGCUGAUUUCCAACACUGACCCCACACGCCCUCAGGUGAUCCCUCUACCAAGGCGCGCACAGCUUUCCAUUUGGGAGGCAAAGGACAGCGAGCGUGUAUAGCAGCCUGUGCCUUUAAAGCUCCUCAAAGCCCUGCCCCAGCCUUCCCGGAGGAAUUUAUUCAGGAAUUCUUUAGUCCACCAUAGCUUCAUUUUCCAGAAGAGGAAAUGCCUUCUUGUCUUCCAGAACUGCUGCUUGUCUGGCUUAGAUUUUAGAGACAGCGUGAUCUAGAACACUUGCAAAUGCGUGCUCAUUGCAAGACUACUGAAAUAGAACAAACCAAGCCAACAACAACAACAGAGGAGGAUGGGUAAAGCGUCCCCAUGAAUAAAAUGGGGUGUUGCCCCUGAAAUGAUGCAGUGGGGGUGGGGCCCCUGCAAGGAGUCCGCUCACCUGGUCCCCAGGCCUCAAAAAAGAAUUUGCAUUCCACAGGGCUGCCCGAUGGCACACUGCAGAUCAUCUAAUGUUCCUUCUGCAACAUGUUCAAUCAUAUUUGGGAAUUAGCAUCUAACUCGGGAGCUACCUGUCUCAGGGUGGAUCCAUGAACAUGACAUAAACCCAGUGCUCGGCAGCCACAGUGACUCACGUAACCAGAGGUCAAUCGAUCCCUCUUCUGUCUUCAUCUACCUCCCGAACAGAGCUCUCAGCCAGGACUGUCUGCGGCUGCCUCUGAUCCCUUUUCCGGGGCCCUUCUUCCAGAACAUGUGAAGGAAGCAGAGGUUAAGGAACCAGGACUUCCAGGAUCCAGCUCUCCUCUGUAUGUCAGUGAUCAGAUAGAGUAUUUUUGCUGCCAAGGAAGACUCUGAACCUCUUAGAUCUGAGGAUCAACAGCCAUCAAUAACCACAACUCCUCUCAUCUCCUUGGAGACCACAGGCCAUACAGGUACCUCUCUGUUUUGUUUUCUAAAGGCCACGACUUAACUGUGCCAUGGAGAAUUGCGGGUUAAGUCACCUCUUCUGUGUUGUGUGAUCCUGAGUCCUCGAGCAUAAGAAACAGAAAUCAAGUCUGGAUUAACUGAAACAGAAACGGUAUUUGUUGGCAGGGUUUAGCGACGUUCACAGAACAGACAGGAAGGCGGGAGAGGGAGGCUUGGGAAAAAGCAGAAACUAGAGCAGGUCUGAGGAUCCAGGGAACAGUAAGCACCAUCGAGAUCAUGUCUUAGGAAGAACUCGUGCAAGACAUGUUGUGGCUACUGCCGGUGGUCUAGCUGACCUCCUUCUGCUGUUACCACCAUUUCUGCUGAUUAAAGUCUUUCUUUGUGUCCCUCCAUCCUACGGCAUGAUCAAGAGACUCCGUGUCCUGCAAAGGAGCAUCUGAUUGGAUAAGCGGAGGUUACAGCCCACGCUGCCAGAACUCAGAAGUUCCCUCUUCAGGCUUCUAUAGGAGGAGGCUCUUCCCCAAUCCAGAGGACAUGGGCCUUCUGCUGAAGAUAAGCUCACAACAUCAAAGGAGGAAAAAUGAUAAACUAUCAGUGUGCUCUCCCAGCUAAUUGGGCAGAGAAGGAUGUCUGAAGGUGGAGGCCGUUAAGAAAUCACGCUUCCCUUUAUUUAUGAGUUUCCGUGGCAAGAGCAAAAUAAAAGACGAUUGUGUUUCAAAGCAACAACACGAAAAGAAGCAACAUCUCCCUCAAGUAGGCAAACCUCCGAGGGAAAGUAAAAGUUACGCUGCCCUACGUACCUUUCCCCAAACCAAGGGACAUCAUUUGAAAUGGUGCUGGCUACAUGUAGACACUAACUCCGGAGACCAAGAAGCUUCUCCCGGAAGGAGGAAAUUCCCUCAGUGGAUAUUUUGCCUUAGAGCAAAAAUGGUAUCUCAGCGUUGGGCUUGCCCCUACAUUCAUUCAUGUUGGUACUUUUUAUUUAAGUUUUUAUAGUAGCUAGGUUCCCCUUUGCCUAAAAACCCAAGGGAAAAAACCCGAUUCUUUAAUUUACUCACAUCCUGCUAGGCUUUCUCAGGCUAUUCAUUUUCUUACCCCGCUUCAUCUUCAGCUGCAAGGAAGCUGGAGUUUGGAGGAAAGGGGGACGCAGGUCAACCGGAGGUUGUCCUGACCUCAGAGGGAGAGCCCCCCUGUCGUCAACACCAGGGCUACCCUAGGCUAUUGCAACAUGUCUGCAGGCUCAAUUCUAGAAGAAAAUACCAUUUACUUCCCAACGUGCUGGGGCUCAGUGGGGCAUAAAGAAUAAAUGAAGUAAAUUAACUGAUAAAAUUUGGUAAUUGCCAGUUCCUGAGAACUUAAAAGAGAAACCGUAAAAGGGAUCCUGAACCUUCGCGAGCGUUUAGAGACUAUCUUGAUCCAUAAAAAUAAAGGAGUGGGGCGCCUGGGUG